rnacentral:lncRNA from 1 species
GAAAUAUCCAUCUGUAAAGGUGUCUCCCUCUUCGUACCAGGAAGAAGGGAGAUGACCUUAUCUCUGGAAACUCUUAUCAAUCCAGAAGAAUACAGCAAAAAGGUGGCUGUCUAUAAACCAGGAAGUGGUUGCAUCAGACACUAAUCUGCCAGCACCGGGAUUUCAGACUUCCCAGCCUUCACAACUCUCGUGCUUGGCAACACCUAGGGUGGCUGCGUAAGCAAAAGGAGGAAAAGAUGGAAGGAGAAGACAAAGACUCGGCUCGCUCAGCAGCUCGAGAUUUCGAAACAAGACGUCGCCAAACUGCCGACUUCUUUUGCCUUUGGUUCCUUUUUGCAGUAUUAUUAAUAAAGCAAGAAAGAAAAGAUAAGGAUGGAAAGAUUUAACAAAAGGAAAACACAGUCUCUAGUGCAAUUUUUCUUAGUUUCUUUUGUUUCCUCAGCCAUGUUGGCCAUAAUCAGACUGCAGGUUGAAAAAGGAGAAAAGCGGACCCUUCCAAACUGGAAAAUUGAGAAAUUUACGUUCAUCAAUUAACGUGGAGAAGGCACACUAUGGCCGCGAUAGUUCCUUUGAGAAGUACAUUUGGCUGAAAAUCUCAAAAUUCACAGAUUAAUUUCCAGUUUUGUUCUGUCUUUACUCUUAGCCGAGAAUUGGACUUAAAUAGAUGACUUAAAUUUACCUGAGAUAGUAGCGCCCUCUACCGGGAAGAAAUUUUCCAAAUGCUUUGUCAGUGUGGUCCUUGGACCAAAAAAGUUGGCGGCUCCUGAGAGCUUGUUAGAAACGCAGAAUGUCAGCUCCAUCCCAGACCCGCUGAACUAGAACCAGCAUUUCAACAGGAUCCCCAAGUGAUUCUUUUGCACACUAAAGUUUGAGAAUCACUGUUUUGAGUGCUGUGACGUGGAUCAAGAGGACAUAUAUUAUAAAUAUAUGGCUGUAUUUUAAUUUUUCCAAUUUCCUAUUCCAAUGUAGGAAAAAAAUAAAAAUAAAUGUUAUUUCUAUUGUUGAA